rnacentral:rRNA from 3 species
UAGGGAAUCUUCCGCAAUGGGCGAAAGCCUGACGGAGCAACGCCGCGUGAGUGAUGAAGGUCUUCGGAUCGUAAAACUCUGUUAUUAGGGAAGAACAAAUGUGUAAGUAACUAUGCACGUCUUGACGGUACCUAAUCAGAAAGCCACGGCUAACUACGUGCCAGCAGCCGCGGUAAUACGUAGGUGGCAAGCGUUAUCCGGAAUUAUUGGGCGUAAAGCGCGCGUAGGCGGUUUUUUAAGUCUGAUGUGAAAGCCCACGGCUCAACCGUGGAGGGUCAUUGGAAACUGGAAAACUUGAGUGCAGAAGAGGAAAGUGGAAUUCCAUGUGUAGCGGUGAAAUGCGCAGAGAUAUGGAGGAACACCAGUGGCGAAGGCGAAUUUCUGGUCUGUAACUGACGCUGAUGUGCGAAAGCGUGGGGAUCAAACAGG